GAUGAACGCUGGCGGCGUGCCUAAUACAUGCAAGUCGAUCGAAGCGAGGACGGGUGAGUAACACGUGGAUAACCUCCUAUAAGACUGGGAUAACUUCGUGAAACCGGAGCUAAACCGGAUACUAAUAGUUGGAUCUGGGCUGCAUUAGCUAGUUGGUAAGGUAACGGCUUACCAAGGUAACGAUGCAUAGCCGACCUGAGAGUGUGAUCAGCCACACAGGAACUGAGACACGGUCCAGACUCCUACGAGAGGCAGCAGUAGGGAAUCUUCCGAAAUGGGCGAAAGCCUGACCGAGCAACGCCGCAUGAGUGAUGAAGGUUUUCGGAUCGUAAAACUCUGUUAUUAGAGAAGCGGUACCUAAUCAGAAAGCCACGGCUAACUACGUGACAGCAGCCGCGGUAAUUC
rnacentral:rRNA from 1 species